AAAACCCCAAACUCACAUUUUGAAUUUGUGUUAAAUUUGAAGGUUUCCUUGAAAACCUCUCAUUAAGGACCCCACACUCACAUUUUGAAUUUGUGCUGAAUUUGAGGGUGUCCUUGCAGCAGCUCUGCCAGCUUGGAUGCAGAAGCUGGCUGACAGAGAAGGGGGCAAAAAAAACCCACUUUGAACCAUCAAGUUUCCUCUUGAAAUGUCUUUUCCCAAGGCACUGUUGAGCAAUUCUCCAUGACUGCAAAAACACCAAGGGGGACAGAAAUAUUUCACACCACAACCACCAUCACAUCAGCAGCUAUUCUUUAUUCCUUCCUUAAACAACGCCCCUGGAAUUUGUUUGGUCCUUUGAGGGGGGAAAAAAAAUCAAAUUAUCUUCUGCAACAUCCAGGUGUUGGUAUUGAACACAUCUAGAAAUCAAAGCUUUGUUGGGCUCUUUAACC